rnacentral:rRNA from 1 species
AAUAGAUACCCAGGUAGUCCACGCCGUAAACGAUGAGUGCUAAGUGUUGGGGGGUUUCCGCCCCUCAGUGCUGCAGCUAACGCAUUAAGCACUCCGCCUGGGGAGUACGGUCACAAGACUGAAACUCAAAGGAAUUGACGGGGGCCCGCACAAGCGGUGGAGCAUGUGGUUUAAUUCGAAGCAACGCGAAGAACCUUACCAGAUCUUGACAUCCCGGUGACCACUAUGGAGACAUAGUUUCCCCUUCGGGGGCAACGGUGACAGGUGGUGCAUGGUUGUCGUCAGCUCGUGUCGUGAGAUGUUGGGUUAAGUCCCGCAACGAGCGCAACCCUUAUUCUUAGUUGCCAUCAUUUAGUUGGGCACUCUAAGGAGACUGCCGGUGAUAAACCGGAGGAAGGUGGGGAUGACGUCAAAUCAUCAUGCCCCUUAUGACCUGGGCUACACACGUGCUACAAUGGACGGUACAAACGGUUGCCAACCCGCGAGGGGGAGCUAAUCCGAUAAAACCGUUCUCAGUUCGGAUUGUAGGCUGCAACUCGCCUAC